CCUACGGGAGGCAGCAGUGGGGAAUAUUGGGCAAUGGGCGCAAGCCUGACCCAGCAACGCCGCGUGAAGGAAGAAGGCUUUCGGGUUGUAAACUUCUUUUCUGAGGGACGAAGAAAGUGACGGUACCUCAGGAAUAAGCCACGGCUAACUACGUGCCAGCAGCCGCGGUAAUACGUAGGUGGCAAGCGUUAUCCGGAUUUAUUGGGUGUAAAGGGCGUGUAGGCGGGAAAGCAAGUCAGAUGUGAAAACUCAGGGCUCAACCCUGAGCCUGCAUAUGAAACUGUUUUACUUGAGUGCUGGAGAGGCAAUCGGAAUUCCGUGUGUAGUAGUGAAAUGCGUAGAUAUACGGAGGAACACCAGUGGCGAAGGCGGAUUGCUGGACAGUAACUGACGCUGAGGCGCGAAGGCGUGGGGAGCGAACAGGAUUAGAUACCCCAGUAGUC
rnacentral:rRNA from 1 species